CCCCUCCUUUCCCUUUCUCCGCUCAGUAGAGCGCUUAUUCGCUUUCGGUACUCGCAGCACACCGUCGAGAGGGGCGCGCGUGCGUGUCGUGGGACAGUUCUCUGUUCUCGCUGUAAAUUGCCUUUCCGCCUGGAGGCGGUGGCCAAGUCGUCCGCCCUCCUCCACCCGCCACGCCUUUUAUCGAGGUAGCGCACAUACUCGUGGAGCACACAGAAGGAAACGCAGAAGCAUGCGCCGGCUGCCGCUCUUGUGCAGACGCACCAGUGGCUGCUGCGGCGCCACUGCUAGCGGCAGCGGCAGCAGCAGUGCCGAUGCCCUCGCCGCCGUGGCAGCGCCAUCGGUGUUGAUGUUGGCCGCGCGCGGCAUUGCGACCAACGGCCGUGUCACGAACGAGGACCGCCGCUGGUGGCUGGUGCACCUCGAGUGCGCGCCGGAUGUGACGCCCGGCACGUUUGUCUCGUGGCUCGACUGUUGUGGCACCCACACCACCAAGAAGUUGAUCGAGCGCAACAUUUGGACCAUCGAGCAGGUAGCGGAGCUCGACUCGGACCGCGUCGACGAGCUCAAGUACAAGGAAGGCUGCCUGAAGAUGGACGUUGUCUGGGAGCACGCGCGCACCAUAAUCACUCCGCUAAAGCAGCGCGAGGUUAGCGGCGGUGUUGAGUCGCAGCUGCAGAGUCGCAUUCUGGAGCUGCGCAAGAAGCGUGAGCUGGAGCGGCAGCGCGAGUCGCUUGUGAAGGAGCGGGCGACGGUGAGCGACAAGCGCGAGGAGACGCUGCGAAAGCUACGCGAGAGCAUUGCAGCCAAGAAAGCGGCGCUGCGUAAGAAGCUGGACGAGAAGCAUGGGGAGGCUGCACCAGCGGCUGCGGAGAGCGCGUCGACGGAGGCGCAUAGGGGAACCGCGGAGGCAGCUGUGGAGGAUGAAGCUGUAGGCAAUAUUGUGGAUCGAAUGAGUGGUGGGAAACCACCUCGUGCCUAAGCUGGAGUGCGUGUGUGCCUGUUUCCGUGUGCGGACAUCGGGUCCACGUGCGUUGCUCUCUGAGAGGUGCUGUGACGGGGGUGCUCAUCAAGGGGAGAGAAAGAGCGACGAAGAGAGGCCGCGCGCGGGGAAAAGGCCAGCAGAGGCUGAGAGGUGCGACGGCGCCAGCGAAUUCGCAACAGGGAGCGGGAAUGGGCGAGGGAAGAGUGCGCGAAGUCUGGGAAAGUGCUUAGCUCAUAAACUGACGUACCCGAACCCCUUCUCCUCCUUCCCUGGUCGACCUUCUCUGAGGACGGCUCCUCUGCUGUUUAUGUCCCUCGUCUCCUCUACUGCUCACUCGUGGCAGCGCCACCCCACCAAACCACCAUGACAGUACUCUCUGAGCUGGACAGGUGGGGAGCUCGUUGACAGUAACCGACGUUGAUGUGACUCUCACAGAAAAGCAAAGGGAACACAGAUAAAUCGGCAAGGGGGAGGAAGCGCACAACCGACCACCGCGGCGAUGACGCGACCGGCCCGACAAGCUCAGAAAAGUGCGAAGGUGUGGGCAGGGGGGAGAGGGGUAGAUACUGAAGACGACGUGUCUUGGACGAGCGGGAUGGGGGAAGCCGCUGCAGCAUGAGGAGAGGCGUAUGUGUGUGUAUGCAGCACCCACAUACACACAAACGCCUCCUUUACGCUUCGCCUUUUUCCCUUUGUUGCCCUCGUGCGCAUCCCACACACCACUCGUCCGCCUCCGACCGACACCCCGCCCCUGGGCCACGACAUUCACUAUCAGCACGCGUUGCUCCCCCCUCCCCCAAAGACUCUCGCUCACCUCCCAACAAGAACGGAAACGAGCGCUGCAGUUCUCAUGCGCAUUUUGUUUUGAAGGUGUGCACUACUUUUACCUUCCCUACUCUCCUCCCUCCUUCCCUCCCUCCCGCUCACUCCCUCACUCACAUCCUCGACUCCGUCUUCCUCCCCCCGGUUUUCCCACACUUUUCUCGUCUUCACAG
rnacentral:misc_RNA from 1 species